rnacentral:lncRNA from 1 species
UGCAGGCUACAUACAGUCUUUGUCACAUAUUCUUCUUUUUUUAAAACAAUGCUUUAAAAAUGUAAAAAUCACUCACUGGGAGCUAAGGAGGAGGUGGUGGGAGAGAAGCAGUGUAUAAAACUGAGGCCAGAGGCCCUCAGGUUAUAAUUUGCCUACGCCUGUAUGACAUCACAGUGGGACAGACUGACGAAACAUGAUUUUGCUAUGCAAGCUUUGGGAAAUCAUUACGGGCUGGUUGAUUGAUUUCCCAUUCCUGAGUCAUUCUUUUGGUGAUGGGGAGAUGAAUGGCUCAAGUCACCACCAACCCUCCUUUGUAGCCAUAUCGUUAUGGAGUAAACUUGAGUUACUCCAAAACAGAAAAAACAAACAAGAGGAUCAAAGUGUACGUCUCUGCUGGAACAAACAGAAGCGGAGAGGCAGGGAGAAGACUGAGCUCUCGGCGGAUUUUGCUGAAAUGUUCUAUUUGUGUAGCAGUGAUUUGUACCGGACUGCUGACUGUCAACUCAGAAGACAGGAUGGAGGAACUUGCCUGUUAGGGCCUGAUUUCCUCCACAUACCGGAGACCGGAAUGAAAUUGUCCCUCCUUUGUCUUAAGGAAAAAUCGUGGGAAUGUUCAGAAGACCCACGUGGUUGGCGUGCACACUUGUGCCUGGGCGGGGCUCCCGUGAAGAUCACCAUACCUGGAAUUGUGUAUAGUGCACCAGUUUGUUCUGACACAGCGGAAGCCCUUCAUCCUUUUGCUCACCCGAUGGUUCUAUAAAAGCGAUUUCUCACUCUCGGGCUUUGCAGGAGCCAGCGUGGUUGCCAACGACUUCGGUCCCCACCCAGUACAACUUCAGCACGGGUGCCCUAAAAAAGGAAACCUGUUUCCCUCCUCCCAAGUUUCUGGUUUCUCCACCCAGUCUCCCCACAGCCCUCUGCUCCCGCACCCAGGCCUUCCGGCCUCCGCCCAGCCUCGGAGCGGCGCCCGACAUUCCAGCUUCCACUUUGAUCCUUACAAAUGAAAAGGCACGGCUGGCCGUGGAGUGUUCGGCCGUGAACGAAGCUGCGGGACAGAGGCAGCGCCAUCUCAGUCCGUCUGUCCGUCAGUCCAGGAGGAGCAGGCCGCGCGGGUGCUCCGGGAGCUGCGGCGCCACGCUGCCCGCAGGCUGCACGGGGAGCCCACUGGCAGGCCUGGGCUGUCACUUCCCGCCUCUGCCCUCCCCAGCUUGCCCUUGACAGCUCUCUUCUUUGAUCUGUAAAAUGGGAGACAAUAGGAGACACUUUGAUAUUCUUCAAAAGCUGCGGGGAUUUGCUGUUUUCUCCCGAAAUAAAGGGCUUGUAGAGAGUUUCUUUGAGAACUGGAAGGAACAUGCUGUCACAUGUAAUCUAACGAGCUCGGCCUCCUCUUCCAGUGCCCAUUAAUCAAUCAUCCAACACUGGAAACCUGUGGCAAGGCUUCUGUGUGCUGUGGAGAAGCAAGGGCAUGGUCUCUGCUUUUAAAGCAUUUAUGGGCUAGCUGGGGAGAUGAACUGUGUAUAUAUGAGCAUAAAACAUGACAAUAGCCAACAUUUAUGGAGUACGCCCCGUGUGCCAGGCUCAGUGUGGCGCUCUCCUUUACUCCUCUGACACCCCAUCAAGUAUGUGCUGUGUUAUCAUCUCCAUUUUAUAGACUUUUUAGCAGGAUCACUUGCCCUCCGGGUCACACAGUGUGCGGGCAAGUCAGACUGUGCAUACAGGCCUGGCUGACUGCAGAGGAAGGAGCUGCGUUUGCAAGCUCGAAUCUGUGCAGCGUUCAGUGAAGAUUAGUUCCUGAUGUUUAACUGAGCUCACAGAAACAAGAUGGAAGGUUUAUCAAUGAGUUGCCUCUAGGAAACACCUGAUAAGGACCUGAUUUUGAUGAUCGGAUCCUGUACUUCCAGCCUGAGCCUAAGCCAGAGCCUGACGCCAUAGUGGACAGUCCGGGGAAGGAAUGAGUAUAUUUUUCAUGUGAGAGGCGUGGUAGCAUUUGUGGCCAGAGGGAUAGCUGUGGCAGUUUUAAAACACAGCUGCAAAUUCAUUGAGACAUGGGGUCGUGUCCACUUUCCUUGAAUCUGGGUGGACUUACGGCUGCUUUGAAAAAUAGAGUAUGACAGAAAUGAUGCUGUGUGACUUCCAAGGCUAGGUGAUAUAAGACCUGGCAGUUUCUUCUUGGUUCACUGCAAUACUUGCUCUGGAACCCUGAACUGCCAAGCCUUGAAGUGUCCACUGUGGCCACUUCGCAUUGCCAAGCAAGAGGUGACCACUCAGAGACCAUCGUCCUGGAGAGUCCUCUCAUAAGGGUUCUGGUCAACAACUCCUGCUGAGUCCACCCUUCCGGUCAUCCCUGCCAAGGUGUAAGACUUGGUAGUGAAGCAGUUGUGGACCCUUCAGACAAGCCCAGCUGCUCGUUAAAUACCCUUGGAUUACUUACCUUAACACCACGUGGAACAGACGAAUCACCCAGCUGAGCCCUGCCCAAAUUACAGACCCAAACUGUGAGAGAUGAUGAAAUGGUUGUUCUAAGCCACUGAGUUUUGAGGCAGUUUGUUAUGCAGAAAUGGCAACCAAAUGUCACAGAUACUAUUGUUAGUACCGUUUUAUAUAUGAAGGAACUGAAGUUCAGAGAGAUGCUCCUGGCGGCAGUUUGCAGCAGUGUCUGGGGAUGCAAUUUUCCUACGAGAAAAUGGAGCAUUUUAAAGCUUCGCUGCAUUGCCCUGCAUCAAGAAUAAGUGAACCAGAUUCAGAAUUCUUUUAAUUUUUGAACAUUAAAAAACUUGC